rnacentral:rRNA from 1 species
GAUGAACGCUGGCGGCGUGCCUAAUACAUGCAAGUCGAGCCAACAGAUGAGGAGCUUGCUCCUCUGACGUUAGCGGCGGACGGGUGAGUAACACGUGGAUAACCUACCUAUAAGACUGGGAUAACUUCGGGAAACCGGAGCUAAUACCGGAUAAUAUAUUGAACCGCAUGGUUCAAUAGUGAAAGACGGUUUUGCUGUCACUUAUAGAUGGAUCCGCGCCGCAUUAGCUAGUUGGUAAGGUAACGGCUUACCAAGGCGACGAUGCGUAGCCGACCUGAGAGGGUGAUCGGCCACACUGGAACUGAGACACGGUCCAGACUCCUACGGGAGGCAGCAGUAGGGAAUCUUCCGCAAUGGGCGAAAGCCUGACGGAGCAACGCCGCGUGAGUGAUGAAGGUCUUCGGAUCGUAAAACUCUGUUAUUAGGGAAGAACAAAUGUGUAAGUAACUAUGCACGUCUUGACGGUACCUAAUCAGAAAGCCACGGCUAACUACGUG